rnacentral:rRNA from 1 species
UACGUAGGGGGCUAGCGUUGUCCGGAAUCAUUGGGCGUAAAGCGCGCGUAGGCGGCCCGGUAAGUCCGCUGUGAAAGUCAAGGGCUCAACCCUUGAAAGCCGGUUGAUACUGUCGGGCUAGAGUCCGGAAGAGGCGAGUGGAAUUCCCGGUGUAGCGGUGAAAUGCGCAGAUAUCGGGAGGAACACCAAUGGCGAAGGCAGCUCGCUGGGACGGUACUGACGCUGAGACGCGAAAGCGUGGGGAGCAAACAGG